AGUCAAUUUUACAUUUUGAGAAUAAACCCAUUCCUGUUAUUGCAGCUGAGAGUGCUCUGUUUUGAACCCUGCUUAAACAGAACUCCUGUGACCCACCUGCAACAAAUAGUGUCUGCUUCCAUACGAACAUGGUGGCAGGCUUUUCAGUGAACCCAAAGUACACGUCACAUAUGAAGAGCAGACAGAGGUUGUGUGUCAGGGCAUGGCCUGCUCCCCAGGGCUCUUUUUCCAUGUGGUACCACCAUUCAGAGGAAACAAGGAGAACAGCUGGGGAGCCUGGAACCUCCCAAUGAACUCCAGACCCCUCAAGCUCUGUUGUCAGAUAAGCCUCCAGCGUGCGCAUCAGUUUGUUGUAUUCCCCUUCGGACUGGGAUGUUGCUUCUUACCACCGAGUUGGCAGGAUGGUUUUCCUCACCCUUGCAGGCCUAUCUCAGGUGAUGUUGAGCAUCUACUCUGCUGUCCCAGUGUCAUCAGGAAAGUUCAUAAGCAGAACAUGA